UACGUAGGGUGCAAGCGUUAAUCGGAAUUACUGGGCGUAAAGCGUGCGCAGGCGGUGAUGUAAGACAGGUGUGAAAUCCCCGGGCUUAACCUGGGAACUGCAUUUGUGACUGCAUCGCUGGAGUGCGGCAGAGGGGGAUGGAAUUCCGCGUGUAGCAGUGAAAUGCGUAGAUAUGCGGAGGAAUACCGAUGGCGAAGGCAAUCCCCUGGGCCUGCACUGACGCUCAUGCACGAAAGCGUGGGGAGCAAACAGG
rnacentral:rRNA from 1 species